rnacentral:rRNA from 1 species
UACGAAGGGGGCUAGCGUUGUUCGGAAUCACUGGGCGUAAAGCGCACGCAGGCGGGUCGUUAAGUCAGGGGUGAAAUCCCGAGGCUCAACCUUGGAAUCGCCUUUGAUACUGGCUGUCUUGAGUACGGGAGAGGUGUGUGGAACUCCGAGUGUAGAGGUGAAAUUCGUAGAUAUUCGGAAGAACACCAGUGGCGAAGGCGACACACUGGCCCGUUACUGACGCUGAGGCGCGAAAGCGUGGGGAGCAAACAGG